rnacentral:SRP_RNA from 1 species
GCCGGGCAUUGUGGCAGGUGCCUGUAAUCCCAGCUACUUGGGAGGCAGAGGCAGGAGAAUCACCUGAGCCCAGGAACUGGAGGUUGCUGUGAGCUGUGGUGCCAAGCACUCUACACAGGGUGACAGCUUGAGGCUCUGUCUCAAAAAAAAAAAAAAAAAAUAGAGCCAAACACCAUAGCACAUGCAUAUAGUUCCAGCUAGUUGGGAAGCUAAAGCAGGAGUUACUGGUUGAACUCAGAGAGAAGUUCUGUACUGUAGUGCACAAUGCCCAUCAGGUACUUGCACUGAAUUCAGCAUCAAUAUGGUAUUCUCCUGGCAACAGGGGACCACCAGGCUGCUUAAAGAGGGGUGAAUCAACCCAGAAUGGGAAACAAAACAGACCAAAACCCCCAAGCGAAUCAGAAGUAGGAUUGUGCCUAUGAACAGCUACUGCAUUCCAGUUUGGAUAACAGCAAGACCUCAUCUCUU